rnacentral:rRNA from 1 species
ACUCAAAGGAAUAGACGGGGGCCCGCACAAGCGGUGGAGCAUGUGGUUUAAUUCGACGCAACGCGAAGAACCUUACCUGGGUUAAAUCCGCCCGAAUCCCGCAGAGAUGUGGGAGUGCCCUUCGGGGAGCGGGCGAGAAGGUGCUGCAUGGCUGUCGUCAGCUCGUGUCGUGAGAUGUUGGGUUAAGUCCCGCAACGAGCGCAACCCUUGUCGCUAGUUGCCAACGGUUCGGCCGGGCACUCAAGCGAGACUGCCGACGUUAAGUCGGAGGAAGGUGGGGAUGACGUCAAGUCCUCAUGGCCCUUAUGCCCAGGGCUACACACGUGCUACAAUGGCCGGUACAACGGGCUGCGAACCUGCGAAGGUGAGCCAAUCCCAAAAAACCGGUCUCAGUUCGGAUAGGAGUCUGCAACUCGACUCCUUGAAGUUGGAAUCGCUAGUAAUCGCGGAUCAGCACGCCGCGGUGAAUACGUUCCCGGGCCUUGUACACACCGCCCGU